UUGUGAUGACUCUAGAUGACGAGUCUGAUCCGGGAUUCCCGUUGAAGACAACCUUUUUAUACUACCAUUCAUGCUUCUCUGAUA
rnacentral:snoRNA from 1 species